UGGGGAAUUUUGCGCAAUGGACGAAAGUCUGACGCAGCAACGCCGCGUGGAGGAUGAAGCCCUUUGGGGUGUAAACUUCUGUUGAUCGAGAAGAAAAAUUAAUGGUUAAUACCCAUUAUAAUGACGUUAUCGAUAAAGAAAGCACCGGCUAAUCUCGUGCCAGCAGCCGCGGUAAUACGAGAGGUGCAAGCGUUAUUCGGAAUUAUUGGGCGUAAAGGGCGCGUAGGCGGUUUUAUAAGUUUUUUGUUUAAGGUCCCGGCCUAACUGGGAAAAUGCAAAAAAUACUGUAAGGCUAGAGUAUAAUAGAGAGAAGUGGAAUUUUCGGAGUAGCGGUUAAAUGCGUAGAUCUCGAAAGGAACGCCAAUGGCGAAGGCAGCUUCUUGGAUUAUUACUGACGCUGAGGCGCGAAGGCGUGGGGAGCAAACAGG
rnacentral:rRNA from 1 species